UACGAAGGGGGCUAGCGUUGCUCGGAAUCACUGGGCGUAAAGCGCACGUAGGCGGAUUGUUAAGUCAGGGGUGAAAUCCUGGAGCUCAACUCCAGAACUGCCUUUGAUACUGGCGAUCUCGAGUCCGGGAGAGGUGAGUGGAACUGCGAGUGUAGAGGUGAAAUUCGUAGAUAUUCGCAAGAACACCAGUGGCGAAGGCGGCUCACUGGCCCGGUACUGACGCUGAGGUGCGAAAGCGUGGGGAGCAAAGCAGGG
rnacentral:rRNA from 1 species